rnacentral:rRNA from 1 species
CAGCCGCCGCGGUAAUACGUAGGGUGCGAGCGUUGAUCGGAUUUACUGGGCGUAAAGCGUGCGCAGGCGGCCCGUUAAGACAGGUGUGAAAUCCCUGGGCUCAACCUAGGAAUUGCGCUUGUGACUGGCGGGCUCGAGUACGGUAGAGGGGGGUGGAAUUCCUGGUGUAGCAGUGAAAUGCGUAGAGAUCAGGAGGAACACCGAUGGCGAAGGCAGCCCCCUGGGCCUGUACUGACGCUCAUGCACGAAAGCGUGGGGAGCAAACAGGAUUAGAUACCCUGGUAGUCCACGCCCUAAACGAUGGGUACUAGCCGUUUGGUGCGCGAUAGCGCUGAGUGGCGAAGCUAACGCGAGAAGUACCCCGCCUGGGGAGUACGGCCGCAAGGUUGAAACUUAAAGGAAUUGGCGGG